CUGAACGAAUAAAUCUCUCCACCGUUUUGUCUAUGAAAAUCCCUACGGAUUCUCAUGUUCCCUCUAUAUCUGUAGUCUGUACCUCUAUCUCUCCACACUGCGCCGCCACUAGCAAGCCUUCACGGUCAUCGCCGUCGGAGACCUAGGCAGUGCUGCUGUAAUACCUGAUUGUUUGUACGUCUGCAGUCGAACGCCACGAUCAUCCAGCCCGCAGGCUGUGCGAACCAGGCCGUGGUCGCCAAGGGCUACUGCAGAGUGCGCUGCGGCCUCCACAACGCCGACAUCGGGUAGGCCUAAGCGUGGGUGGGUGGCACCGAGUGCGAGUGCACUAAGCCGCUCCCUUGACAUCUGAUCCCAAAUCCUCCACCUCCUUGCCCUUUCCAAUGGCGCAUGGAGUUUUCUCAGGGGCAGGCCCGCCACGACAUCAUCGUCCACCUCCUGUAUAGAGGAUCACCCCACCUAUGAAUCGGAAUUCAUGGCUUUUAUCUCCUCCGUGAAUCCCAUCCCCAGGUUUUCCCCAAAUCAUUUCGAAUUUGCAUACAUAUGAUUCUAAAAGGCGAAAUAUUUUUUACAUCUAUGAAAAGUUUUUGUUUGUCGUCCUACUAUCUAUGCUUAUUCUUCAUCUUUGUUAUCAUACUUUUUACAAUGUGGUUUGGGCCUAAAUGCUAUAUCUACUCAUGCUUAAUACUAGUGACAUUAACACGUGGACAAAUCUUCUUUACAAUUACAUGAUGCUUCCCGGUGAACCAAUGCAAUCUCAUGCAUAUGUAAAUGGUUGGAGAAAUACUAGGGAAGAAAAUUCCUACAACCACACUAGAUUUGGUUUGUUACUUAACCACGUUCCAUAUUAAAACACUCAAUUCCCUUUUCCUUAAGAAGGUGAGCACUUGCAAUUCUCCUGGCAGUAGCAAUUCAACAACUCGAUCUAGGUGUGAGAGGCCUAUUAUAUUUGUUUUGCACGUAUUUGUUGAACGUCAUCGUCAUGUCCACUAAGAAGAAAGCCAAAUUUUCAACACCAAUUUGUGUUUAUUUCUCAAAUUUUAGAUUGUAGGAUCUUAUAUGACCGCCAUGCAAAGCAAAUGGGUUUCAUUAUUUCUCUUAUUGUAAGUCAUUGGUAUGCAUUGAUCCACUACCCUCCUCAGUGUAAGUCACUACGGAAUAUUCUUCAAAUCCUCUAAAAAUUUGAAGAUGGAUCAAUGUUAACUUUUCUACGCUGUAAUGUGUCAAUCUAAUAAAUAUCACACAUUACCGGUUUCCUAUUUUUCAUAUCUCUGUAAAUCUUUGCUGAAUUUCCCGCCGCAAGGCGCGGGGCAUCCUCUAGUUUCUUAUAAUUAUGCACCGAGUGAGUGAGAGAAAAUGAGGGUAGUGGCGAAUGAAUGAGACAUGGGAGAAUAGAUCAACUUAGAGUUCGGGCAUGAAUUAUAUGGUAAGGGUGAUGGUCAAGGGCCUGUUUGGUUUACAGCCUAAAGUUGGCACGCCUAACCUUAGUCGUGCCACAACAUUUUAGGCAUGUGUUUGGUUUGUUGCCACACUUGUGGCUUGCCACACUUUUCUAGCAACAUGGUCCACAUGUCAUAGGCUCAAUUUUUUGCCAAAUCUUGCUACACUUGUGGUGGCCAUUUUGUCAGCCACACUUUUUGUGGCAGCCACACUUUACCUGAGCUUAGUUGUGGCAAAGUUAGUCAUGAACCAAAAGGCCCCAAAUAUCAAGCGGUCUAAAAUUUGGGAUUGUCGUCGAAUUGAUAAACAACCGGUUACUAAUAGAACUUCAAAAAAAUUACAGCAUGGUGUUGUACCUCCAUGUUUAUCCUAAGAAUUCCCUAUACAUUGUGUAAAAUAUGGCAUAUUGUCGAAUGGAAAUCUAGCAGAAUACGCUUAUGAAUAAAGGUCUCGGACAAAAUAUGGCAAUCAUGCUUAGUAUUUUUUUAGGAUAAAGGAAGAGAGUUAUCAUUCUCAUUUUUUACUUUUUUGGGUGGAGAGUUAUCAUUCUCAUUGACACAUUUAUUUUACAUGAUUUAAGUUCUGCCGGCUUUUUCCAGGGGAUUAAAGUAUAGUUUCAUUUUACAUGAUUCAAGUAUAAUUAGUUUUGUAUAGAGAGAAUAGUUUUUCUAUAGAGAAAGUUACCAUACAAAAAAGAGUUUUUUUUAGAACAGACAAAAAAAAGCUUGUAUAGAGAGAAAUCGUUAUUUGGGCCAGCAGCCUUUUCCCAUCGUUCUCUUUGGGCCACCGCUUUCCCUGGGAAUCACUCCGGCCAGUGGGCCGAACAGUUCCCAGCCGUCUCUCCGGCCGCCCGCCGGCGGGCGGCGAGCUCGGACUCCCUCCGGCCGACCACCGCUGUCGCGCGAGAUGGUAAGACCUGGAUGCCGCGUACCUCCUGCGAUCGGCUGCUCCUUCUGUAUCUACUUGGGCCGCGUUUGGUCUCGUGGAUUCGUUGUCCCUCCUGCAACUGCAGUGCCAUUUCUCGGCAGAUUCGUAGGUUCUCAGAAGGUCUAGCUUGGUUUAGUGGUUCGCGCAUAUGCGACCGUCGGCGCGGUCAGGCUGGCCGACCGGCGGCGGCGUGGCGCGGCAAGGCGCUGGGUCUGCCGUGAGGGGCAAAGCUGGCAGUGGCGCGUCAGCCACUCGCGGCAGGCGCGGAGUCGCGCGUGUAGGAAUUCUGAAUGUCUCUAGCAUGUGACAGGGUAGAAAUUCGGCUCCUCAAAUGUGUUAUUCCGUCUUAGGCUGUUGAUAUUGCCUCAAGAUUUAUGCUUCCUCUCAGCUUGGUCGUUAUUAUGGUAAGGGAUUAUGUUGGCACAUUGAUGCAACAUGAAUAAUCGUGUAGGUAGUGACUUGUGCAUCUGUAGGAGAUGGAUGACAAAAACUAGACCACAAGAGAUGUAACUUUUCUCCCCUUUAGUACUUCCCUGAAUUUAGCCCCGUGGGACUGGUUAUACCCAGUUGGAUCUGUGGAGUUCAUGUCAGUUUCGUAGGGGUCUAUGUGAAAUGUGAUAUUCAUGAAAAAGAUUUUGACAUUUUGUGAUUUUGCAGUCUGCUUGUGAUAAUUAUUAGUGACUCCUUUCCUGUAUGUGAUUAUGUCUGGAUUAUAGGGUUCUAGUAAAACUAUAUUUACCCUUUUCUUGCUAAAAGAAGACUAAUAUUUCCAGACUAAUAUUCUCUGCUGCUUUUGCUCAACACCUCUUCUGUUUCUGAGCUCCGGACCACUACUGGAAAUCGUGUCUUUGGUGCCCUUAAGGGAGCUCUGGAUGGUGGGCUUGACAUUCCACAGUGACAUAAGGUUUGCUGGUUUCCAGAAGGAUGAGAAGUAGUUGGAUGUGGAGAUUCACCGCGAUUACAUCUAUGGAGGUCAUGUUUCUGACUACACGAGUCACUUGCUGAGGAAGAACCUGAGAAGUACCAACAGCACUUCAGUCAGUACAUCAAGAAAGGAACUGGGGCUGAUGACACAGAAGGUUGUGCUGCCAUUUUUGCCGAUCCUUCCAUGGCCAAGCUAACCAAGAAAUCCCUGAAGGACACACAAGAGGUACAAGCUUAAGAAGCUGACCUAUCUGCAAAGGAAGGCCAGUCUGGCUGAACGCGCUCAACUCAUCCGCUGGAGCUGCUGCUUAUUCGAAUGAGGACGGUGAGUGAAGAGUGUAGUCAACUGUAGUAGCAUUGUCAGCAUACUUUGAAACCUGUAGUUGCUAUAUGGCAUCUACCAGUAGCUGUAGUGAAGAUGCAAAGACAUUUUUGUUUCAGCACUCUGAUCAAUGAUCCUGUUUCUUCCAAUUGAGUAUCAUGCUGGGGUUAUGCAUUGUGUCGAUUAUACA